rnacentral:rRNA from 1 species
GAUGAACGCUGGCGGCGUGCCUAAUACAUGCAAGUCGAGCGAACGGACGAGAAGCUUGCUUCUCUGAUGUUAGCGGCGGACGGGUGAGUAACACGUGGAUAACCUACCUAUAAGACUGAGAUAACUUCGGGAAACCGGAGCUAAUACCGGAUGAUAUUUUGAACCGCAUGGUUCAAAAGUGAAAGACGGUCUUGCUGUCACUUAUAGAUGGAUCCGCGCUGCAUUAGCUAGUUGGUAAGGUAACGGCUUACCAAGGCAACGAUGCAUGGCCGACCUGAGAGGGUGAUCGGCCACACUGGAACUGAGACACGGUCCAGACUCCUACGGGAGGCAGCAGUAGGGAAUCUUCCGCAAUGGGCGAAAGCCUGACGGAGCAACGCCGCGUGAGUGAUGAAGGUCUUCGGAUCGUAAAACUCUGUUAUUAGGGAAGAACAUAUGUGUAAGUAACUGUGCGCAUCUUGACGGUACCUAAUCAGAAAGCCACGGCUAACUACGUG